AGAAAACCGCUGUAGGACUACUGGAAAAGAGAGAAAAGGGUACCUUUAUACCAUUGACAUAUAAGAAAUGUAGAACUUCUGGAGUGUGUGAAACACACGGAACCACACUGAAACCAAACUAAUCAGACUUGCAUAGCAGCAGCACCAUAUGGCAGUGACAGCACCUUCUGCAAGAAGAGAAACUCUAAACCAAUUACAACGAUAUCAUUUCUGUGUUGAACCAUAAGUCAUUGGAAACCCACUGCAACCAUGCUUCCAUAAUAGCAGAUGGAAUUUCCAAUUCUAUAAAGAAAAGGAAUGUUGAAGUAACAUACAUGUAGCUUUGAGGAGGAGGCAGGUACAUUCAAGCUCAUGGAGAGGAUUGACAGCCACAGAUAGGUACUCAUAAGAACUGAAUGUAAAUCAUC